UCUGGGCCGCCGCGAUUCUGGGCGUGCGUGAGGGAGGGUGGGUGCUGAAGGCGGAGGCAGCACCCACGCCAGGGCACACCACUGGACUACAAUUCCCAGCCCCCUGUGUAGUUAGAUGGGGCCAUAAGACAGGUAUGGAUGAUGGAAUGAGGCCAGAGUGAUGGGCAUGCUUCCCGGCCUGUGUUUCCUUGUUAACACAACUGGAAGUGGGAGUGGAACCAGGAGGUGACGUUUCCAGAGUCCUUGCAGCGCCACUUGGAACAGAGCAAAACCCACUUGGGACUGCUGUGUGGGAGACAAAAAAAUAAACUUUUGUGCUGGUGCCUAUAAUCCCAGCUACUCAGGAGCCUGACACGGGAAGAUCACUUGAGGCCACGAGUUUGAGACCAGUCUGGGGAACACAGUGAGACUCCCAUCUCUAAAAUCAUUCAAAAAUUAGCCAGGCAUGGUGGUAUGCACCUGUAAUCCCAGGUACUCGAGACACUGAGGCAGGAGGAUGGCUUGAG
rnacentral:lncRNA from 10 species